UACAAUACACUAUUUACUUAACAAAAUCAAAAAUCUCAAAAAUAAUAAUAAAAUUAUGAAAUUAAAUAAUAAUAUUUAGAAAUUCAGCAUGUAUUUGUUUGUAAUGGAAGCCUACUAACUCGAAUUAGUAUGAACCCAUUCGGUUAACAUUUACUGUUAUAAUAAAAUAAUUUUAUUUGAUUUAAAAAAAAAAAGAAGAAACGAGCACUUAUAAAUUUUACGAAUUUUAUUUAAUAAAAUUUUUUUUUUUGAGAAUUUGAACUUGAUGUUCCUUUUUUUUCUGCAUUAUUUUGCUUGAUGAAAUGCAUCCAUGGCCCAUUCCAAAAAGAAGGUUGAAGUUCAAUUGCUGUUGAAGAUGCAUCGAAGAACCAAGAACUGGGUCAUGAUUUUGCUGGUUCCUGAAGAAAACCCAAUAGCUCAAAAGCAAAAUGGUCGAUAAUAGAGGGGAGAGAGAACUGAUGAAAUAGGCCAAAGAGAAUAGAGAACCCUACUCAAACCAAAAGCUACAAAGCCAUUGGCCUUUUUACCCUGUCUAAUUUCUCCUCAUUACCCAUUUUAUGGGAUGUGUGAGAGUUGAGACUCAACAAUGAUUACCCGAAACCCAACCCAAUUCCAAGGACCUGGAGAAUUCAAGCAGAAGGAUCCUUCUAUUGAUUGCAGUGGGGACAUGGCAGCAAGCAACACGUCAAUUUUGUUACAUCAUAGUCUCUUAGAUGUUGGCUUUAUGUUGGAUUGCAUAAGCCUUCCAUCUCUUACAUGUGAUUGAAUGAAAUUGGAUGCUAUACAAAUAUGGAAGUUUUGGUUGUUUGGUACUUGAGUCUGGCACUGGUAGUGGAUCUUUAACAUCCUCACUUGCAAGGGCUGUGGCUCCUAAAACAUGUUCCUAUGUUUGAUUUCCAUGAACAAAGGGCUACCUCAGCAAGGUAAGAAUUCGGGUUAUCCCAUUUUAGUAUAAAUUGUUUGAAUUUUGUAUUGCAUUGAAUUACUCUCCAAUUCUGUUUCAAAUCCAAAGCUCAAAGUAGAUUGGCAAGUCUUCUAAGUGUAAUUUUAAGAUUUAAGAGUAUAAAGAGCUUACCUUGUCUAUAAAAAUUGUUUGUUAUAUUUGGUGUCUGUAAUGUGAGAGGGGCGAGGGUAUUCCACCUUCUCUACAAGUAAAAGAACCAUUUCAUACAACCAAAAAGUUUUAACUUUCAACUGGUUUGGGUUGCUAUAUAAUUCCUUUUUCAUUAUUCAACUCUGUUUGAAAUCAAUUCUGCAUCAGUAUCCAAAAAUUUUAAACGUUUUGAAACCACGUCCCCUGCAUGUCAUUUUGAGUCUCUCCUUUCCCUUUUUACUGCUUCCAACAAUCAUUGGACAUGACCAAGUUAUCUUAAUAGAGCUGUUCUUUUUCCUCCCCCCAAUAUGUGCUGCAUGCAUAUUGGUUUUGAAUGAAAUAUUGGUUUUGUUGAAUUGAGUUUAUUAUUGUUAUUUGGGUUGUUGAGAUUGUUUAUUAUUUAAAAAGAUAAUCAGAAAGAAAGUGUAACAGAGGACCCUAGAGAGAAUAGAGGGACGCACAAACAUGUAGGCAGGGAGAAAGAAGGGGAGGGUGGUAAUGAUGGAGAAAGACAGGGAGAGGUGAAGGGAUACUAUGUUUUUCUUCUUGGGAUACUAUGUUUUUCUUCUUUCUCUUCUUUUUUUUAAAAAUAUGUAAAUGGGGAAGAUUUUGAGAGGACAGGAGUAAGCAGCAUAGUUACAGCUGGAGUUAAGAGACAUUCAGGGUGAGGAAUUUCCAGAUGAAUAUAAUGGAUUGGCUGAUUCUGUAUUUCUUGAUCUACCCGAACCAUGGUCAGCCAUUUCUUCAGCUGGGGAAGUGUUGUAACAAGAUAGCACUUUGUGCUCUUUCUCACCAUGCAUUGAGUAAGUACAACAUUCUUGUGCAACUCUUGGAUCAAAUUUUACAGGUACAUUAUAAACGAGUCCUCUCCAUUCUAAAUCUAGUAAUGUGUAUUUACAGGAUCAUACUCUUUGAUCUAUAUAGUAUCUUGUACUCGUCCUUUCUCUCCCAGUUUGUAAUUUUCUUUAGAAGUACAAAUCUUCUAAUGACUGCUUGAUCUUUUCGUCAUUCAAUAGCAUGUUAUGAAUGCUAUUACAUGUGGCUUGUGCUGUAAAAGUUGACAUAAGAACAUUUGAGGUGCACCUUCAGAAAUACGAAGUUCGUGACGGGAAAAUGGAUUGUGGCCAGGGCGAUAAAGGUAUUCUCUUGAGUUGCCUCCUUACAAAAGAAGGCAGCCUUCAAAUGAAGGGAGUAAAUUGGCUAGGCCAUGCCGUGAAUCUAGAGAUUUAGACCCACUACAAGAAAUUUGUGAUUUACCAACAG